rnacentral:lncRNA from 10 species
CUGAAACUCCCUUCCCACUUUCUGCAGCCUCCCAGAGAUAGUUCAGGCUCCAGCCUCAUGUGAUAGCAUGAAGAGAAACUGGUUCCAACAGCUGUGUGCUCUGCUGCCCUCAUCCCAAACAACAGUUUAAAUGCACAAUUACGCUUUUCUCUAAGGCCCAAAAUAGGAUAGGAAAGAUCGUUUUGCUAUCCCUGAAUGCCUGUCACCCUUGUUUCGUAAGGAAGUCAGUCCCAGAAUAGUUGUUCUGCUCCCUCCCUUCUAAUAAGUGCUGCGCUGAGUGUGCUUGCUUUGCCAGAUGGUUAAAAC